GAUGAACGCUGGCGGCGUGCCUAAUACAUGCAAGUCGAGCGAACGGACGAGAAGCUUGCUUCUCUGAUGUUAGCGGCGGACGGGUGAGUGACACGUGGAUAACCUACCUAUAAGACUGGGAUAACUUCGGGAAACCGGAGCUAAUACCGGAUAAUAUUUUGAACCGCAUGGUUCAAAAGUGAAAGACGGUCUUGCUGUCACUUAUAGAUGGAUCCGCGCUGCAUUAGCUAGUUGGUAAGGUAACGGCUUACCAAGGCAACGAUGCAUAGCCGACCUGAGAGGGUGAUCGGCCACACUGGAACUGAGACACGGUCCAGACUCCUACAGGAGGCAGCAGUAGGGAAUCUUCCGCAAUGGGCGAAAGCCUGACGGAGCAACGCCGCGUGAGUGAUGAAGGUCUUCGGAUCGUAAAACUCUGUUAUUAGGGAAGAACAUAUGUGUAAGUAACUGUGCACAUCUUGACGGUACCUAAUCAGAAAGCCACGGCUAACUACGUG
rnacentral:rRNA from 1 species